GGAGAGGUGGCAGAGUGGUCGAUUGCACUCGACUUGAAAUCGAGCGAGCCGAAAGGCUCCGGGAGUUCGAAUCUCCCCCUCUCCG
rfam:Lyngbya majuscula 3L genomic scaffold scf52120, whole genome shotgun sequence.